CCGGACAUCAGCGCUAUCUCUGCUCUCACUGCCGUAAAACAUGGCAACUGCAGUUCACUUACACCGCUUCUCAACCCGGUACGCACCAGAAAAUCAUUGAUAUGGCCAUGAAUGGCGUUGGAUGCCGGGCAACUGCCCGCAUUAUGGGCGUUGGCCUCAACACGAUUUUACGUCACUUAAAAAACUCAGGCCGCAGUCGGUAACCUCGCGCAUACAGCCGGGCAGUGACGUCAUCGUCUGCGCGGAAAUGGACGAACAGUGGGGCUAUGUCGGGACUAAAUCGCGCCAGCGCUGGCUGUUUUACGCGUAUG
rnacentral:rRNA from 1 species